GCUGGAUGNNUGANUGGACGAGAAANCUACUGUCUCUUUAAAAAUUUUUAUUUAAUUUAACUUUUAAGUAAAAAGGCUUAAAUAUUUAUUAAAGACGAGAAGACCCUAUAGAGUUUUAUAUUUAUUUAGUAAUAAUUUAUUUGGAAUUUUUUAUUUUUUUAUUUUUUAGUUAUUUGGUUGGGGUGAUUAAAAGANUUGUUUAACUCUUUUAAUUUUAUUAUCAUUGAUUUGUGAAUUGUUUAUCUAGAUUUUUUAAAUUUAAGAUAAAUUACCUUAGGGAUAACAGCGUAAUUUCUUUUUAGAGUUCUUAUCAAUNAAGAAGUNUGCGACCUCNAUGUUGAUUUAAAUUGCCGCGGUA
rnacentral:rRNA from 1 species